GGAGGGCCUCACGGAUGAGCUAUUCAUCGGCGGCACCCUGCCAGUCGUUUAGAGGAUCUGCGGGAACAAAUGAACAAGCAGAGUGUCAUAAGUCAGGGACCAGCAUCCAUGCCAACUGCCCGGGAUGACUGCUAAGGCAAUUCAUAUUCUCUCUCAAUCGUCAGCCACCAUAUGAUGUUAAUUGAUCUUGAUCUUCCCCACUCGCCAGUUCUGAAGACACUUCGGAUCUCACAUUAACUUCAUUCAGUCUUUAAGAAUAACCAUAGUAAUAUGCAUCUCAAAGCUAUGGCUCAUGCGCCCAUACAAAAAAGGACAACUGACUAGAUUGAGGAUACGUUAUGGCAAGAAGGCUAUAUAUUCAUGGGUGUGAAUGGGG